rnacentral:rRNA from 1 species
CAGCCGCCACGGUAAUACGUAGGGUGCAAGCGUUAAUCGGAAUUACUGGGCGUAAAGCGUGCGCAGGCGGUUAUAUAAGACAGAUGUGAAAUCCCCGGGCUCAACCUGGGAACUGCAUUUGUGACUGUAUAGCUAGAGUACGGCAGAGGGGGAUGAAAUUCCGCGUGUAGCAGUGAAAUGCGUAGAUAUGCGGAGGAACACCGAUGGCGAAGGCAAUCCCCUGGGCCUGUACUGACGCUCAUGCACGAAAGCGUGGGGAGCAAACAGGAUUAGAUACCCCAGUAGUCCCUGUCUCUUAUAC